rnacentral:rRNA from 1 species
UACGGAAGGCAGCAGUGGGGAAUAUUGCACAAUGGGCGAAAGCCUGAUGCAGCUAUGCCGCGUGUAUGAAGAAGGCCUUAGGGUUGUAAAGUACUUUUCAUCGGGGAGGAAAAAACAAAACUAAUAAUUUUUAUUUUCUUGACGUUACCCGAAAAAGAAGCACCGGCUAACUCCGUGCCAGCAGCCGCGGUAAUACGGAGGGUGCUAGCGUUAAUCAGAAUUACUGCGCGUAAAGAGCACGUAGGUGGUUUUUUUUAAGUUCAGAUGUGAAAUCCCUGGGCUUAACCUAGGAACUGCAUUUUGAAACUGAAAUACUAGAGUAUCGUAGAGGGAGGUAGAAUUCUAGGUGUAGCGGUGGAAAUGCGUAGAUAUCUGGAGGAAGUACCUGUGGCGAAAGCGGCCGUCCUAAACGAACACUGACACUGAGGGUGCGAAAGCGUGGGGAGCAAACAGGGAUUAGAUACC